CGAGCGCACCCCUACUGUUAGUUGCCAUCAGGUAAAGCUGGGGACUCUAACAGGACUGCCUACGCAAGUAGAGAGGAAGGUGGGGACGACGUCAAGUCAUCAUGGCCCUUACGCCCAGGGCUACACACGUGCUACAAUGGGGAGUACAGAGGGUAGCUACCUGGUAACAGGAUGCCAAUCUCAAAAAGCUCUUCUCAGUUCGGAUCGUGGUCUGCAACUCGACCACGUGAAGUCGGAAUCGCUAGUAAUCGCGCAUCAGCAAUGGCGCGGUGAAUACGUUCCCGGACCUU
rnacentral:rRNA from 1 species